AUUGAACGCUGGCGGCAUGCCUUACACAUGCAAGUCGAACGGUAACAGGUCUUCGGAUGCUGACGAGUGGCGAACGGGUGAGUAAUACAUCGGAACGUGCCUAGUAGUGGGGGAUAACUACUCGAAAGAGUGGCUAAUACCGCAUGAGAUCUACGGAUGAAAGCAGGGGAUCGCAAGACCUUGUGCUACUAGAGCGGCCGAUGGCAGAUUAGGUAGUUGGUGGGAUAAAAGCUUACCAAGCCGACGAUCUGUAGCUGGUCUGAGAGGACAAUCAGCCACACUGGGACUGAGACACGGCCCAGACUCCUACGGGAGGCAGCAGUGGGGAAUUUUGGACAAUGGGCGCAAGCCUGAUCCAGCAAUGCCGCGUGCAGGAUGAAGGCCUUCGGGUUGUAAACUGCUUUUGUACGGAACGAAAAGCCCUGGGUUAAUACCCUGGGAUCAUGACGGUACCGUAAGAAUAAGCACCGGCUAACUACGUGCCAGCCGCCGCGGUAACAC
rnacentral:rRNA from 1 species